UACGUAGGUGGCAAGCGUUGUCCGGAAUUAUUGGGCGUAAAGCGCGCGCAGGCGGUCCUUUAAGUCUGAUGUGAAAGCCCACGGCUCAACCGUGGAGGGUCAUUGGAAACUGGGGGACUUGAGUGCAGAAGAGGAAAGCGGAAUUCCACGUGUAGCGGUGAAAUGCGUAGAGAUGUGGAGGAACACCAGUGGCGAAGGCGGCUUUCUGGUCUGUAACUGACACUGAGGCUCGAAAGCGUGGGGAGCAAACAGG
rnacentral:rRNA from 1 species